rnacentral:lncRNA from 1 species
AUCAGCGUGCUUUUUAUUGGAGGUGCAAAUUAUACAUAAUAACAUACAGCAAUUUUCAGUUAGAACUUUCGCAUUUUGCAGAAGUCCUUGCAUUUUUUUCAACAAAUAUAAGGGGAAGAAAAAUUCUCUCUUUUGUUUCCUCCCUUUCCCUUUUUCUUACAGAAAACAACGUCCAGGUUUUCUUGGAGCCAAUUAAGUCCAUUUGAAAUAAAGUUCUUUUAUUUUGGAUCAAGAGUGUCCACAUGGGGAGUUAAUCAAGAAUAAUUAUUCCUCUCUAAAUUCACAUCCUCAAAUAAUUUGAAUUAAAUCCCCAGCAUAGGAAAGCCCUAAAUGUCAGAGGAGGUUAAAAAAUAGUAGAGUAGACUAGAGGAGCUCUAUCAUAACAGAAAGCGAUGACAGUAAAACCAUCCUCUAUGCAGCCAGCCCAAGCCAGCAAGCGGAGCCAGCCAGGAUGGAUCCAGGUACAAAUGAUCCCACUCUCACUGUUCAGCCAUUUAAAGUCAACUGCUGUAUGUGUCCAUGGCACAGUUGCUAUGUACACUCUGUAUAGUGAUGUAAUAGUGGCAUCAGGCAGGAGAUGCUGCAGUCAUCAGAAGGAGCGAGUUCAGGCACAUCUCAGGAAGGAAUGUUGCUCAGGGAUGGAUGCCUUUCUCAGUUGUUUUCCCAGCUGGCUGCAGAACGAACUCUCCUACUCUGAAUAUAAAAGUGUUUACGAACGGAGCCGGAAAGGUAAAUUCUUCAACUUUCUCUAGCAGGGGCUGGCACAGAAUGAAGUUCCCGUUAUUGAUUAAGCCCAGGUGGUCUGCUCACACAGCAAACAGAUAUUUUACAAAGCUUUAUUACGCCUCAUUAGGAUUCACUCCUUUAGAAGAUUUCUAAUUAUAUUGUCUAAUAAAACUAAACCUUCG